UGGGGAAUAUUGGACAAUGGGCGCAAGCCUGAUCCAGCCAUGCCGCGUGAGUGAUGAAGGCCCUAGGGUUGUAAAGCUCUUUCACCGGUGAAGAUAAUGACGGUAACCGGAGAAGAAGCCCCGGCUAACUUCGUGCCAGCAGCCGCGGUAAUACGAAGGGGGCUAGCGUUGUUCGGAUUUACUGGGCGUAAAGCGCACGUAGGCGGACUAUUAAGUCAGGGGUGAAAUCCCGGGGCUCAACCCCGGAACUGCCUUUGAUACUGGUAGUCUGGAGUUCGAGAGAGGUGAGUGGAAUUCCGAGUGUAGAGGUGAAAUUCGUAGAUAUUCGGAGGAACACCAGUGGCGAAGGCGGCUAACUGGCUCGAUAAUGACGCUGAGGUGCGAAAGCGUGGGGAGCAAACAGG
rnacentral:rRNA from 1 species